rnacentral:rRNA from 1 species
UACGUAGGGUGCGAGCGUUGCCCGGAUUUAUUGGGCGUAAAGGGCGCGUAGGCGGUCACGCACGUCCGUUGUGAAAUCGCUCGGCUCAACUGGGCGGGGUCAGCGGAUACGGUGUGACUGGAGCAAGCUAGGGGGCAAUGGAAUUCCCGGUGUAGCGGUGAAAUGCGCAGAUAUCGGGAAGAACACCCGUGGCGAAGGCGGCUCUCUGGGACGGUACUGACGCUGAGACGCGAAAGCGUGGGGAGCGAACAGG